rnacentral:rRNA from 1 species
AACGAACGCUGGCGGCAUGCCUAACACAUGCAAGUCGAACGAGACCUUCGGGUCUAGUGGCGCACGGGUGCGUAACGCGUGGGAACCUGCCCUUAGGUUCGGAAUAACUCCCCGAAAGGGGUGCUAAUACCGGAUAAUGUCUUCGGACCAAAGAUUUAUCGCCUUUGGAUGGGCCCGCGUUGGAUUAGCUAGUUGGUAGGGUAAAAGCCUACCAAGGCGACGAUCCAUAGCUGGUCUGAGAGGAUGAUCAGCCACACUGGGACUGAGACACGGCCCAGACUCCUACGGGAGGCAGCAGUGGGGAAUAUUAGACGAUGGGCGAAAGACUGAUCCAGCAAUGCAGCGGGAAUGGUGAAGGCCUUAGGGUGGUAAAGCUCUUUUACACGGGAUGAUAAUGACAGUACCGGGAGAAUAAGCUCCGGCUAACUCCGUG